rnacentral:rRNA from 1 species
CGAUCAUGGCUCAGAUUGAACGCUGGCGGGAUACUUUACAUGAAUUCAGACGGCAGCACGGACUUCGGUCUGGUGGCAGUGGCGAACAGGUGAGGUAAUGUAUCGGAACGUGCCUAAUGGCGGGGAUAACUACGCCAGCGUAGCCUAGCCAUACGCCCUUCGGGGGAAAGCGGGGACCUUCGGGCCUCGCACUGACUGAAACGGCCGAUAUCGGAUUAGCUAGUUGGUGGGGUAACGGCUCACCAAGGCGACGAUCGUAGCUGGUUUGAGAGGACGACCAGCCACUGGGACUGAGACACGGCCCAGACUCCUGCGGGAGGCAGCAGUGGGAAUUUUGGACAAUGGGGAAACCUGAUCCAGCCAUCCCGCGUGUGCGAUGAAGGCCUUCGGGUUGUAAAGCACUUUUGGCAGGAAAGAAACGGCACCGGGAUAAUACCCCGUGCAACUGACACCUGCAGAAUAAGCACCGGCCCCAACUACGUGCCAGCAGCCGCGAUAAUACGUAGGGUGCAAGCGUUAAUCGGAAUUACUGGGCGUAAAGCGUGCGCAGGCGGUUCGGAAAAGAUGUGAGGCAGAGCUUAACUUUGGAACUGCAUUUUUAACUACCGAGCUAGAGUGUGUCAGAGGGAGGUGGAAUUCCGCGUGUAGCGGUGAAAUGCGUAGAUAUGCGGAGGAACACCGAUGGCGAAGGCAGCCUCCUGGGAUAACACUGACUGCUCGUGCACAAAAGCGUGGGAGCAAACGGGAUUAGAUACCCUGGUAGUCCACGCCCUAAACGAUGUCAACUAGCUGUUGGGGCCUUCGGGCCAUGGUAGCUGGCUAACAACGUGAAGUUGACCGCCUGGGGAGUACGGUCGCAAGAUUAAAACUCAAAGGAAUUGACGGGGACCGCACAAGCGGUGGAUGAUGUGGAUUAAUUCGAUGCAACGCGAAAAACACCUACCCUUGACAUGUCUGGAAUCCCGAAGAGAUUUGGAGUGCUCGCAAGAGAACCGGAACACAGGUGCUGCAUGGCUGUCGUCAGCUCGUGUCGUGAGAUGUUGGGUUAGAGAUCCCGCAACGAGCGCAACCCUUGUCAUUAGUUGCUACGAAAGGGCACUCUAAUGAGACUGCCGGUGACAAACCGGAGGAAGGUGGGGAUGACGUCAGAGUCCUCAUGGCCCUUAUGGGGUAGGGCUUCACCCGUACUACAAUGGUCAAGGACAGAGAUAGCAGCGCGAAGGGGGCAAUCCCGAAACCCGAUCGUAGUCAGAUGCAGUCUGCAACUCGACUGCGUGAAGUCGGAAUCCGCUAGUAAUCGCGGAUCAGCAUGUCGCGGUGAAUACGUUCGGGUCUUGUACACACCCGCCCGUCACACCAUGGGAGUGGGUUUAGUAGUUAGCCUAACCGUAAGGAGGCGAUUACCACGGUAGGAUUCAUGACUGGGAGUGAAGUCGUAACAAGGUAA